ensembl:lncRNA
GCAUUGUUGUAGACUGAUGUCUUUUUUUUGUUGUUUUUCUGGCUAUUACAGGUGCCUUCAUAGUUGCCUGAGAGGGCACAGGGCAUUCAUUUAAGCUGACCAGCUUACUUGGCUGCCUGCAGGCUACAACCUGUACAGCUGGUCAGCUUCCUUGGUGCUGAAGGAACCAAACAUCUCCCUCUCUCCCUCUAUCCUGUCCUGUCCUAUCCUUUUGUAUCCUGUUCUGUUCUUUUUCUCCUCUAUCUGCUUGCACCUGCAAGCUUUCUAAAAACGCCCUUCUGAAAACGCCCUUGUCCAAAAUGAUGAACCUUUACUUGUCCAAAAUGAUGAACC